rnacentral:rRNA from 1 species
UACGUAGGGUGCAAGCGUUGUCCGGAAUUAUUGGGCGUAAAGAGCUCGUAGGCGGUUUGUCGCGUCUGCUGUGAAAACUCGGGGCUUAACCCCGGGCCUGCAGUGGGUACGGGCAGACUAGAGUGCGGUAGGGGAGACUGGAAUUCCUGGUGUAGCGGUGAAAUGCGCAGAUAUCAGGAGGAACACCGAUUGCGAAGGCAGCUCGCUGGGACGUUACUGACGCUGAGGAGCGAAAGCGUGGGGAGCGAACAGG